AAAGGAAUAGACGGGGGCCCGCACAAGCAGCGGAGCAUGUGGUUUAAUUCGAAGCAACGCGAAGAACCUUACCUAGACUUGACAUCUCCUGAAUUACCCUUAACCGGGGAAGCCCUUCGGGGCAGGAAGACAGGUGGUGCAUGGUUGUCGUCAGCUCGUGUCGUGAGAUGUUGGGUUAAGUCCCGCAACGAGCGCAACCCUUAUUUUUAGUUGCUACCAUUCAGUUGAGCACUCUAAAGAGACUGCCCGGGUUAACCGGGAGGAAGGUGGGGAUGACGUCAAAUCAUCAUGCCCCUUAUGUCUAGGGCUACACACGUGCUACAAUGGUGAGAACAAAGAGACGCGAGACCGCGAGGUGGAGCAAAUCUCAUAAAACUCAUCCCAGUUCGGAUUGCAGGCUGAAACUCGCCUGCAUGAAGCCGGAGUUGCUAGUAAUCGCGAAUCAGCAUGUCGCGGUGAAUACGUUCCCGGGCCUUGUACACACCGCCCGU
rnacentral:rRNA from 1 species